AAAGACUUGAACAGGGACUUUAGCAAGCUCCAGUGACAUGAAAUCUUUCAGUAGCAGCUACAGACAAGGAUAUGGGGCAAGAGGGAUUCCCAUGCGCUGCUCAAAGGAAUCUUAAUUAGAGGUUGGGGGAAAAAAUGGCUAACUGUGUGUGUGUGUGUGUGUGUGUGUGUGUGUGUGUGUGUGUGGUGGCCUUUCAGAGCUGCCCCAUCACACAGAGGGCCCAAGACUGCACACGGGAGACCCGAGGACUGCAGUUCUCCGAGCCCUGAGAGCUCUCCAUCCUAAGGAGACCCAGCAGCUCUCCUGAAUCCAUGGCCUAAUGCAAACCGGAAACAGGAAGUCUGCACAGGGGCGGGCCUGGAUGGUAUGAGUGCCUAGCCAUGCAUUCACAACUAAGAAUCUUGGUACGAAGGAGAGUUUGUUUUGAUUGAGAACCUUCCCUCUGUUCAUUCUUCAUGUGCAAUUGCCAAAAAGGAGAAACUCAAGUGUCCAUCCACUGAUGAAUGAAUAAACAGGAUGUGGUGUAUCUAUACACUGGAAUGUUCUUCAGCAAAGGAGAAUGAAAGAACUGGCCCACGCAACAAGGAGAGUGAAACUGGGAGACAUUAUGCCAAGUGGAAGACGCCAGACACAGAAGGCCAUGGUGGUAUGACACUUCCAGGAAGUGUCCACAGUCGUCAUCCAUGGAGGGGGCAGUAGUUAGUGAUCCCAAGGAGGUGAGGGGAGGGCGAAUGAGAAGGGACUAACAGGUCUGGGAUUCUUUCUGGGGUGACAGAACUGUUCUAGGAUUAGGUCGUGGUAGUGGCUGCCUACCAUUGUGAGUUUCCUAAAAACCACCGAGUUAUACACUUAAAAAAAGCUAAUUGACAAAAAAAUAAAGCAAAACAAAUGAACAAAAACUGGAUCCCCGUGAAGGUAGAAAAUCUAAACAUAGUCACUUCGACAGAAUCGAUAGGGAAGUUUUCAAACAGCUCUCUCACUGAAAGCCUUCCAUCCAGAUGCUUUCAUAGGAGAAUUCUAUCAAACCUGAAAAAAACUUUUGUACCAAGUUCUUCUCGAAAAUAAGAAAUGAAGGCAAACUUCCAAAUUCUUUUUCAGAGAUAACUAUAAUACAGAUAACAAUAACUUAAUUUUAAAAAAUCCUCCAGAACAAUCUUACUUUAUGAAUAGAUUAUAAGUGAUUAGAUAUUAUUCAUUAUUAUGAAUAGAUUAUAAGU